CAGCAGUAGCCGCGGGAAUACGAAGGGGGCUAGCGUUGUUCGGAAUUACUGGGCGUAAAGCGCACGUAGGCGGAUUGUUAAGUUAGGGGUGAAAUCCCAGGGCUCAACCCUGGAACUGCCUUUAAUACUGGCAAUCUCGAGUCCGAGAGAGGUGAGUGGAAUUCCGAGUGUAGAGGUGAAAUUCGUAGAUAUUCGGAGGAACACCAGUGGCGAAGGCGGCUCACUGGCUCGGUACUGACGCUGAGGUGCGAAAGCGUGGGGAGCAAACAGGAUUAGAUACCCGUGUAGUCCCUGUCUCUUAUAC
rnacentral:rRNA from 1 species